UAAAGCAUUCACGGUAGGGUCACACAAUCAAUUAUCUCUUGAAUGUAUCGUCUCUAUUUCCAAUAUCUGAACACACAAGGAAACUAUAAUCUCUUCUUUCACCUUAUCGGUCUCUUCCUUACAGCAAUUCAGUCAUACCAAUAACUGCUAUUUCCACCAAUAUAUUCACCCUCAUAAUCUCCAACUAUAAUACUGCACCCUCACAGCUUUCAGCACACAAUUACCCUCAUUCUAAUCACUCGAAUUCUUCACAUAGAAUUGCCAUUCACAUUACGGUAUUUCACACAAAUACAGACUCAUUUUCUUUGUUGAACUACAAUUAGAUUUCAGUAUUCAAUCUUUCUUCUUCUCAAAUAAUACCAAUCACAUUUCCAUUCCAUAAUUCACUUUACAAUAUUCAAAAACUCUCAAUCCUCUUAUUUAAAGAAAAUAACAAACAAAAGAAAAGAGGUAGCACCAAGCUUAUCCCGGCUCACAACUAUCAUAGCAAUGGCACUUUAAUUAAUUUCUACAACUCCUAUAUACUUUCCCUGAUUCUUCAGAUUUUAACUAUAAUUCUAUAAUUAACCACUUUUAAGAACUAAAUCACUCAUUUGUCCUCUUGAAUUUCCUAUUAUAUGGACUAUUAAUAUAUUUUACCAAUAUCUUUCAAAAAUAAAUUAAUAUCUAUUCUAUA
rnacentral:lncRNA from 1 species